rnacentral:rRNA from 1 species
UACGUAGGGACCAAGCGUUGUUCGGAUUUACUGGGCGUAAAGGGCGCGUAGGCGGCGUGGUAAGUCACUUGUGAAAUCUCUGAGCUUAACUCAGAACGGCCAAGUGAUACUGCUGUGCUAGAGUGCAGAAGGGGCAAUCGGAAUUCCUGGUGGAGCGGUGAAAUGCGCAGAUAUCAGGAGGAACACCCGUAGCGAAGGCGGCACUCUGGGCCGAUACUGACGCUGAGGCGCGAAAGCGUGGGGAGCAAACGGG